UCGAGAAUCUUCCACAAUGGACGAAAGUCUGAUGGAGCGACGCCGCGUGAUUGAUGAAGUCCCUCUGGGACGUAAAGAUCUUUUAUGAGGGAAGAAGUUUAUUGACGGUACCUCAUGAAUAAGGGGCUCCUAAUCUCGUGCCAGCAGGAGCGGUAAUACGAGAGCCCCGAGCGUUAUCCGGAAUUACUGGGCGUAAAGGGUGAGUAGGUGGCGUUAUUAGUCGAGUGUUAAAUAUCUGUGCUUAACAUGGAUGCUGCAUUCGAAACGGUAAUGCUAGAGGGUGUGAGAGGUCUGUGGAACUCAUGGUGUAGGGGUGAAAUCCGUUGAUAUCAUGGGGAACACCAAAAGCGAAGGCAACAGACUGGCACAUUCCUGACACUGAAUCACGAAAGCGUAGGUA
rnacentral:rRNA from 1 species